rnacentral:ncRNA from 1 species
ACCUGUGGUAGUUAGAUCUCAGUUCCAGACGGGUGAUUCGCUUACCGGUGGUUACUGCCUGUUCUGAAUAGCCAGACGGUUCCCUUUGAUGACCUUUACCGGUUGUCUUGGGUGACCAGCAAGUUUUCUUUGAAACAUUUCGAGUGCUCAAAGCAGGGAUGACGGCUGAACAAUGGUGCAUGGAAUACGAAGUCAGUUCUAUUUUGUGGUUUUUGGAAUACGAGGAUUAAGAGGAACAGACUGGGGCAUUCGUAUUGCGAAGCUAGAGAUGAAAUUCUUGGACCGCUGGAAGACGAACUGCUGCGAAAGCGUUUGCCAAGAAUGUUCCCAUUAAUCAAGAACGGUUAGUAAGUUAGGGGUUCGAAGGCGAUCAGGUAAGCGAUGCCAACCAGCGAUCCGGCUGUGUUCCUGAAAUGAGACGACGGGCAGCUUCCGGAAGACCAAAGCCUUCGGGUU